CUUCACCGACCCCAGCCACAGCGGACGGCCCUCGGGCCGUCCCUGGCCGUACGUGGCCAGCAGCGCCUGCACCUC
rnacentral:antisense_RNA from 1 species